UUUUAUUCUGAAACUAAAUUUGGGAUAUCUGAUUUCCGGUUCAGGGAUACUUUCUCUUAUCCAUCUUCCGUCUUGUUGACCACUUGAAGCAAGAUGAGAGCUAAGUGGCGAAAGAAGCGUAUGCGUCGGUUGAAGCGCAAGCGAAGGAAGAUGAGGGCAAGGUCCAAGUAAACCAGCCCUCUUUACAACCAAGAUUUCACAUUCCAUCCAACAACACAUCCCCUGUUCAGCCAGUGUUUAGGCAUUGAAUUGAUGAAGAAGAUGAUGAUGAUGAUGACAAAUGCAGUCUGCGUGUGCAGUGUUCUAUUGCACAGGCGCUGUACCGAACUCUGUCUGAAUGGGGAAGUGUCCAUAGCAGUAAUGCAGUAUAUACAUCAUAAUCAACAGCAGUAGCAGAAACACAACAGCAGCAACCGCUUAGCAGUAGCAGCAGCAACAACAGUUAGUCUACCUGGCAACCAUCGCAAUAGCAGCCUGAGGGGGAAAAUGAGAGGAGGAAGACAAUUGGGUGUGUGCGUAGCAACUGUUGUGCAGCGGGUUGCUAGGCAGCACCUUUGAAUGGUUGGCAGUUGACUAUAAAUCUUCAUCCACCAGGCAUUAUUGCGUUACAUAAAACAUUGUGUUGUUGGGAGGUUCAAAAAUAUGGACUGCAUCUUGAAGAACAAUGAUAUUGAAUCAUUUAAUUCUUGAUUGUAUCUUUUGAUUGUUCUGUUUUUAAAUGGAAUAAAUGUGAUGUCUUGGCA